rnacentral:tRNA from 1 species
GAUUGGGUGGCCGAGUUUAGGUGGUAAAUUGUAAAUUUAUAGACGAAAAUAUUUUCCCCUGUCA